UACGUAGGGGGCUAGCGUUGUCCGGGAAUCAUUGGGCGUAAAGAGCGUGUAGGCGGCCCGGUAAGUCCGCUGUAAAAGUCAAAGGCUCAACCUUUUGAAUGUCAGUGGAUACUGCCGGGCUAGAGUCCGGAAGAGGCGAGUGGAACUCCUGGUGUAGCGGGUGGAAUGCGCAGAUAUCAGGAAGAACACCAACGGCGAAGGCAGCUCGCUGGGACGGUACUGACGCUGAGACGCGAAAAGCGUGGGGGAGCGAACAGG
rnacentral:rRNA from 1 species